rnacentral:rRNA from 1 species
CUUUCCCUCUGGCGGCAGGCCUAACACAUGCAAGUCGAGCGGAUGAAGGGAGCUUGCUCCUGGAUUCAGCGGCGGACGGGUGAGUAAUGCCUAGGAAUCUGCCUGGUAGUGGGGGAUAACGUCCGGAAACGGGCGCUAAUACCGCAUACGUCCUGAGGGAGAAAGUGGGGGAUCUUCGGACCUCACGCUAUCAGAUGAGCCUAGGUCGGAUUAGCUAGUUGGUGGGGUAAAGGCCUACCAAGGCGACGAUCCGUAACUGGUCUGAGAGGAUGAUCAGUCACACUGGAACGGAGACACGGUCCAGACUCCUACGGGAGGCAGCAGUGGGGAAUAUUGGACAAUGGGCGAAAGCCUGAUCCAGCCAUGCCGCGUGUGUGAAGAAGGUCUUCGGAUUGUAAAGCACUUUAAGUUGGGAGGAAGGGCAGUAAGUUAAUACCUUGCUGUUUUGACGUUACCAACAGAAUAAGCACCGGCUAACUUCGUG